CAGUAGUCAUAUGCUUGUCUCAAGAUUAAGCCAUGCAUGUCUAAGUAUAAGCUUUAAACGGCGAAACUGCGAAUGGCUCAUUAAAACAGUUAUAGUUUAUUUGGUGAUCGAUUACUAUUUGGAUAACCGUAGUAAUUCUAGAGCUAAUACAUGCGUCAAGGCCCGACUUCGGAAGGGCUGCGUUUAUUAGAUACAGAACCAACCUAGGCUCCGCCUAGUCCUUGUUGGUGAUUCAUAAUAACCCGGCGAAUCGCACGGCUUGUCCGGCGAUGGACCAUUCAAGUUUCUGACCUAUCAGCUAUGGACGGUAGGGUAUUGGCCUACCGUGGCGUUGACGGGUAACGGGGAAUUAGGGUUCGAUUCCGGAGAGGGAGCCUGAGAAACGGCUACCACAUCUAAGGAAGGCAGCAGGGCGCGCAAAUUACCCAAUCCUGAUACAGGGAGGUAGUGACAAGAAAUAACAAUACAGGGCAAUUCUGUCUUGUAAUUGGAAUGAGUAGAUUUUAAAUCUCUUUACGAGUAUCAAUUGGAGGGCAAGUCUGGUGCCAGCAGCCGCGGUAAUUCCAGCUCCAAUAGCGUAUAUUAAAGUUGUUGCGGUUAAAAAGCUCGUAGUUGGAUUUCUGCCUUGGGCGACCGAUCCACCUUUCCUACGGGAUUGGUUGGUAUCAGGUUUGACCUUGGCUUUUUCUUGGGAUUCGUGCUCACGUACUUAACUGUGCGUUGACCGGGUUCCAAGACUUUUACUUUGAGGAAAUUAGAGUGUUUCAAGCAGGCUUUAUGCCAUGAAUACAUUAGCAUGGAAUAAUAGGAUAUGACUUCGUCAUAUUUUUGUUUGUUUCUAGGACUGAAGUAAUGAUUAAUAGGGACAGUCGGGGGCAUUCGUAUUUACUGUCAGAGUGAAAUUCUUGGAUUUGUUAAAGACGACUACUGCGAAAGCAUUUG
rnacentral:ncRNA from 1 species